rnacentral:tRNA from 1 species
GCAGUAGUAGCUCAGUGUCAGAGCACCGGUCUUGUAAGCCGGACGCCGGACGUUAAAACCCUCCCCACUGCU